UUUCCGUAGGUGAACCAGCGGAAGGAUCAUUAUUGUAUAACCGAGGUGCGAGGGCUGUCGCUGACCCGAAAGGUCGUGCACGCCCGAGUGCCCUCACACACAUCCAUCUCACCCCUAUGUGCACCCCCGCGUGGGUCCCCCUUUGGCUUGUUCGGAGGGGGGCUUACGUUUUCACACAAACUUUGUAUGCAGUGUAGAAUGUAUUUUUUGUUUUUGCGAUCACGCAAUCAAUACAACUUUCAACAACGGAUCUCUUGGCUCUC
rnacentral:misc_RNA from 1 species